rnacentral:rRNA from 1 species
UACGGAGGGUGCGAGCGUUGUCCGGAAUCAUUGGGCGUAAAGGGCGCGUAGGUGGCCCGGUCAGUUCGUGGUGAAAGCGCGGGGCUCAACUUCGCGUCGGCCAUGAAUACUGCUGGGCUUGAGCACUGUAGAGGCAGGCGGAAUUCCGGGUGUAGCGGUGGAAUGCGUAGAGAUCCGGAAGAACACCGGUGGCGAAGGCGGCCUGCUGGGCAGUGGCUGGACACUGAGGCGCGACAGCGUGGGGAGCAAACAGG